UGCAGUCGAGCGGAAACGACACUAACAAUCAUUCGGGUGCGUUAAUGGGCGUCGAGCGGCGGACGGGUGAGUAAUGCCUAGGAAAUUGCCUUGAUGUGGGGGAUAACCAUUGGAAACGAUGGCUAAUACCGCAUAAUGCCUACGGGCCAAAGAGGGGGAUCUUCGGACCUCUCGCGUCAAGAUAUGCCUAGGUGGGAUUAGCUAGUUGGUGAGGUAAUGGCUCACCAAGGCGACGAUCCCUAGCUGGUCUGAGAGGAUGAUCAGCCACACUGGAACUGAGACACGGUCCAGACUCCUACGGGAGGCAGCAGUGGGGAAUAUUGCACAAUGGGCGAAAGCCUGAUGCAGCCAUGCCGCGUGUAUGAAGAAGGCCUUCGGGUUGUAAAGUACUUUCAGUUGUGAGGAAGGGGGUAACGUUAAUAGCGUUAUCUCUUGACGUUAGCAACAGAAGAAGCACCGGCUAACUCCGUGCCAGCAGCCGCGGUAAUACGGAGGGUGCGAGCGUUAAUCGGAAUUACUGGGCGUAAAGCGCAUGCAGGUGGUUCAUUAAGUCAGAUGUGAAAGCCCGGGGCUCAACCUCGGAACUGCAUUUGAAACUGGUGAACUAGAGUGCUGUAAAAGGGGGGAGAAUUUCAGGUGUAGCGGUGAAAUGCGUAGAGAUCUGAAGGAAUAC
rnacentral:rRNA from 1 species